UACGGGGGGGGCAAGCGUUGUUCGGAAUUACUGGGCGUAAAGGGGACGUAGGCGGCCAACUAAGUCCGACGUGAAAUCCCAAGGCUUAACCUUGGAACUGCGUCGGAUACUGGAUGGCUUGAAUUCGGGAGAGGGAUGCAGAAUUCCAGGUGCAGCGGUGAAAUGCGUAGAUAUCUGGAGGAAUACCGGUGGCGAAGGCGGCAUCCUGGACCGACAUUGACGCUGAAGGCCGAAAGCUAGGGGAGCAAACGGG
rnacentral:rRNA from 1 species